GGCAGUGUGGCUGAGUGGUUAUAGCGCUUGACUAGAAAUCAAGUCCCUUCGGGGUCACAGGUUCGAGUCCUGUCACUGUCG